AGCCAAGCAGUCGCGCAUUAACACUAUUGCCGUGUGCGCUUUCGUAUACGGCGCCGGAUUUUUGUAAUAUCGUUAUUAUUUUCCGGAACGUGGGGGACGAGAAUAUUUGAGAAACGGGGAUUAGAAUAUUUUUACCUGAGAUAUAGACAGGUCGUCACACGUCCAUCCAUUCGUCGUGAAAGACGGGAGGAGAUUCUAAAGCGACGUACCAGUGUCAGAGAAAGAGAGAAGAGAAAGAGAA